GGCGCAGUAACUUUUUCUGCUUCGGCGGGCCAGCCCGAGUUGCCAGCGUUGCUUGGCGGGGAUUGGGGAGCUGCACGUUCUAUCUGUUUCGGGGGCGGUUCCUCCGAACGCGCUGACCGGAUGAAAUUGAAGAACAAUUUGAAGUGAAAUGUAAUCCUGCUGAGAAUGGUAAAACCACUAUAGAGAAUAUGAAGUAGAUAUGUUUGCAUUCAGUACUCAGAAGAAUAGAAAGAACAUUCUGCAAGGGACAACAGGAUGGUGUGCUACCUUUCUGGAGCCAGAACAUGAGAUGCCACACUAAGAUUGAAUAGGCUUCUGAAGUUCAUGGGCAAGGACCCAUUGGUGAUGGUUCAUAUUGGCACUAAUGAUUUGAUCCCAGUCUAUAAGUACCUCCAUGGAAAACAAAUAUUUGAUAAUGGGGUCAUCAAUCUAGUAGAGGAAGGUGUAACAUGAUCCAAUGGCUGGAAGCUGAAGCUAGACGAAUUCAGACUGGAAAUCAGGAAGUACCAUGCAGAAAAGCUACACAGACCAUUACUGUUGAAACAAAAUUGAUCUUACAUUACCACUGAGUUCAUUAAAUAAUGUUGAUUUCAGUAGAACAACGAUUGUACAUGUGACAUUGAUAACAGUACAUCAUGAAUUCAUUAUGAACAGGGCUACUCCAAUAAAUACCAGAUGAAUUCAUAAUGACUGGAUUCUUAAAAUGCUACCAGGUUUACUUCAGGUUUUCUGUUUCCAUGUGUAAUUACUACUGCCAGGGCUAUCACUAUUACCUACUCUUUUAUAAACGAAACCAAACAGAAAAUUAAAAAUGGUGUACCUGAGUGUUGCUAUAAAAAUACUGAAUGUCUUAAAUAUCAGUGUUGAUGAUGCCUAAAGGCAAGAAUUAUGCUUAGUCAAGAUUUGUAUUUUCAAUUUAUUUUCUUCAGCAUGAAUCUAGCUAGCCAACGUAGUCUAAGGAAUUUUUUGGGUUA